CAGUCGCCGCGGGAAUACGAAGGGGGCUAGCGUUGUUCGGAAUCACUGGGCGUAAAGGGUGCGUAGGCGGGAUCUUAAGUCAGGGGUGAAAUCCCGAGGCUCAACCUCGGAACUGCCUUUGAUACUGGGGUCCUUGAGUCCGGAAGAGGUGAGUGGAACUGCGAGUGUAGAGGUGAAAUUCGUAGAUAUUCGCAAGAACACCGGUGGCGAAGGCGGCUCACUGGUCCGGAACUGACGCUGAGGCACGACAGCGUGGGGAGCAAACAGGAUUAGAUACCCCUGUAGUCCCUGUCUCUUAUAC
rnacentral:rRNA from 1 species